UAGGGAAUCUUGGACAGUGGGCGAAAGCCUGAUCCAGCCAUGCCGCGUGAGUGAUGAAGGCCUUAGGGUUGUAAAGCUCUUUCGCCAGGGAAGAUAAUGACGGUACCUGGAUAAGAAGCCCCGGCAAACUUCGUGCCAGCAGCCGCGGUAAUACGAAGGGGGCUAGCGUUGUUCGGAAUUACUGGGCGUAAAGCGCACGUAGGCGGUUUUCCAAGUUGGAGGUGAAAUCCCUGGGCUCAACCCGGGAACUGCCUCCAAAACUGGAUGACUCGAGGCCGAGAGAGGUGAGUGGAAUUUCCAGUGUAGAGGUGAAAUUCGUAGAUAUUGGAAAGAACACCAGUGGCGAAGGCGGCUCACUGGCUCGGUACUGACGCUGAGGUGCGACAGCGUGGGGAGCAAACA
rnacentral:rRNA from 1 species